GCCAGAGUGCUGGAACCGGUAGACAGGCACGGCUUAGAACCGUGUAUCCGCAAGGAUGUGUGGGUUCGACUCCCACCUCUGGCA
rnacentral:tRNA from 1 species